AAUCCAUAGGUUAAUGAGGCGAACCGGGGGAACUGAAACAUCUAAGUACCCCGAGGAAAAGAAAUCAACCGAGAUUCCCCCAGUAGCGGCGAGCGAACGGGGAGGAGCCCAGAGCCUGAAUCAGCAUGUGUGUUAGUGGAAGCGUCUGGAAAGGCGCGCGAUACAGGGUGACAGCCCCGUACACAAAAGCGCAUGUGCUGUGAGCUCGAUGAGUAGGGCGGGACACGUGGUAUCCUGUCUGAAUAUGGGGGGACCAUCCUCCAAGGCUAAAUACUCCUGACUGACCGAUAGUGAACCAGUACCGUGA
rnacentral:rRNA from 5 species